UGGCGGCGUGCUUAACACAUGCAAGUCGAACGGUAAGGCCCUUCGGGGUACACGAGUGGCGAACGGGUGAGUAACACGUGGGUAAUCUGCCCUGCACAUCGGGAUAAGCCUGGGAAACUGGGUCUAAUACCGAAUAGGACCACAGAACACAUGUCCUGUGGUGGAAAGCUUUUGCGGUGUGGGAUGGGCCCGCGGCCUAUCAGCUUGUUGGUGGGGUGAUGGCCUACCAAGGCGACGACGGGUAGCCGGCCUGAGAGGGUGUCCGGCCACACUGGGACUGAGAUACGGCCCAGACUCCUACGGGAGGCAGCAGUGGGGAAUAUUGCACAAUGGGCGAAAGCCUGAUGCAGCGACGCCGCGUGGGGGAUGACGGCCUUCGGGUUGUAAACCUCUUUCACCAUCGACGAAGGUCCGGGUUUUCUCGGGCUGACGGUAGGUGGAGAAGAAGCACCGGCCAACUACGUGCCAGCAGCC
rnacentral:rRNA from 1 species